rnacentral:sRNA from 1 species
GUCUUCAUCUUCAUCUUCUUCUUCUUGCUAUAAC